AGGGAAUCUUCCGCAAUGGACGAAAGUCUGACGGAGCAACGCCGCGUGAGUGAAGAAGGUCUUCGGAUCGUAAAACUCUGUUGUUAGGGAAGAACAAGUAUCGUUCGAAUAGGGCGGUACCUUGACGGUACCUAACCAGAAAGCCACGGCUAACUACGUGCCAGCAGCCGCGGUAAUACGUAGGUGGCAAGCGUUGUCCGGAAUUAUUGGGCGUAAAGCGCGCGCAGGCGGUUUCUUAAGUCUGAUGUGAAAGCCCCCGGCUCAACCGGGGAGGGUCAUUGGAAACUGGGGAACUUGAGUGCAGAAGAGGAGAGUGGAAUUCCACGUGUAGCGGUGAAAUGCGUAGAGAUGUGGAGGAACACCAGUGGCGAAGGCGGCUCUCUGGUCUGUAACUGACGCUGAGGCGCGAAAGCGUGGGGAGCAAAC
rnacentral:rRNA from 1 species